GCAGCACGGUUUUCGGACUGGUGGCGACCGGCGCACGGGUGCGUAACGCGUAUGCAAUCUACCCUGUACUGAGGGAUAGCCCGGGGAAACUCGGAUUAAUACCUCAUAGAAUCACAGAUAGGCAUCUUGAAGUGAUUAAAGAUUUAUCGGUACGGGAUGAGCAUGCGUCUGAUUAGUUAGUUGGUGAGGUAACGGCUCACCAAGACAAUGAUCAGUAGGGGUUCUGAGAGGAUGAUCCCCCACACUGGCACUGAGAUACGGGCCAGACUCCUACGGGAGGCAGCAGUAGGGAAUAUUGGUCAAUGGGCGAGAGCCUGAACCAGCCAUGCCGCGUGCAGGAUGACGGCCUUCUGGGUUGUAAACUGCUUUUAUAUGGGAAGAAAAAGCUCAUGCGUGAGCAAUUGCCGGUACCAUAUGAAUAAGCACCGGCUAACUCCGUGCCAGCAGCCGCGGUAAUACGGAGGGUGCAAGCGUUGUCCGGAUUUAUUGGGUUUAAAGGGUACGUAGGCGGAUUUUUAAGUCCGUGGUGAAAGCCUACAGCUUAACUGUAGAACUGCCAUGGAUACUGGAAAUCUUGAAUUCAGUUGAGGUAAGCGGAAUUUAUGAUGUAGCGGUGAAAUGCAUAGAUAUCAUAAAGAACACCUAUUGCGAAGGCAGCUUGCUGGACUUGAAUUGACGCUGAGGUACGAAAGCGUGGGGAGCGAACAGGAUUAGAUACCCUGGUAGUCCACGCCGUAAACGAUGAUUACUCGCUGCUGGCGAUACACUGUCAGUGGCCAAGCG
rnacentral:rRNA from 1 species